rnacentral:rRNA from 1 species
AUUGAACGCUGGCGGCAGGCCUAACACAUGCAAGUCGAACGGUAGCACAGAGAGCUUGCUCUCGGGUGGCGAGUGGCGGACGGGUGAGUAACGUCUGGGAAACUGCCCGAUGGAGGGGGAUAACUACUGGAAACGGUAGCUGAUACCGCAUAACGUCGCAAGACCAAAGUGGGGGACCUUCGGGCCUCACACCAUCGGAUGUGCCCAGAUGGGAUUAGCUAGUAGGUGGGGUAAUGGCUCACCUAGGCGACGAUCCCUAGCUGGUCUGAGAGGAUGACCAGCCACACUGGAACUGAGACACGGUCCAGACUCCUACGGGAGGCAGCAGUGGGGAAUAUUGCACAAUGGGCGCAAGCCUGAUGCAGCCAUGCCGCGUGUAUGAAGAAGGCCUUCGGGUUGUAAAGUACUUUCAGCGGGGAGGAAGGCGGUGAAGUUAAUAACUUCACCGAUUGACGUUACCCGCAGAAGAAGCACCGGCUAACUCCGUGCCAGCCGCCGCCGUAA